rnacentral:rRNA from 1 species
GGAGUCUGGGCCGUGUCUCAGUCCCAAUGUGGCCGAUCACUCUCUCAAGUCGGCUACUGAUCGUUGCUUUGGUAGGCCGUUACCCUGCCAACUGGCUAAUCAGACGCGGGUCCAUCUUGUACCACCGGAGUUUUUCACACUGUACCAUGCAGUACUGUGCGCUUAUCCGGUAUUAGCACCCCUUUCGGGAUGUUGUCCCCAUCAGAAAGGCAGGUUGCCUACGCGUUACUCACCCGUUUGCCACUAGGUCCUCUCAUUCAGCAAGCUGAUCAAAAGAACCCCGUCCGACUUGCAUGUGUUAAGCACGCCGCCAGCGUUCGUCCUCGAGCCACUGAUCAAACUCU